GUGCCAGCCGCCGCGGUAAGACGUAGGGAGCAAGCGUUGUCCGGAUUUACUGGGCGUAAAGAGCGCGUAGGCGGCUCGUUAAGUGUGAAGUGAAAUCUCCAGAGCUCAACUCGGAAAUUGCUUCGCAUACUGGCGAGCUUGAGGAAUGCAGAGGUUAGUGGAAUUCCUGGUGUAGCGGUGAAAUGCGUAGAUAUCAGGAGGAACACCGAUGGCGAAGGCAGCUAACUGGGCAUUAUCUGACGCUGAGGCGCGAAAGCGUGGGUAGCAAACAGGAUUAGAAACCCCGGUAGUCC
rnacentral:rRNA from 1 species